UACGUAGGGUGCAAGCGUUUGUCCGGAAUUAUUGGGCGUAAAGAGCUCGUAGGCGGUCUGUCGCGUCGGCUGUGAAAUCCCGAGGCUCAACCUCGGGUCUGCAGUCGAUACGGGCAGACUGGAGUGCGGUAGGGGAGAAUGGAAUUCCUGGUGUAGCGGUGGAAUGCGCAGAUAUCAGGAGGAACACCGAUGGCGAAGGCAGUUCUCUGGGCCGAUACUGACGCUGAGGAGCGAAAGCGUGGGGAGCGAACAGG
rnacentral:rRNA from 1 species